AAAAGCUCCGGCAGUAUAGGAUGGUCCCGCGUCUGAUUAGCUGGUUGGCGGGGUAACGGCCCACCAAGGCGACGAUCAGUAGCCGGCUUGAGAGAGUGGACGGCCACAUUGGGACUGAGACACGGCCCAAACUCCUACGGGAGGCAGCAGUGGGGAAUAUUGCACAAUGGGGGAAACCCUGAUGCAGCGACGCCGCGUGAGUGAAGAAGUAUUUCGGUAUGUAAAGCUCUAUCAGCAGGGAAGAAAAAAGACGGUACCUGACUAAGAAGCCCCGGCUAACUACGUGCCAGCAGCCGCGGUAAUACGUAGGGGGCAAGCGUUAUCCGGAAUUACUGGGUGUAAAGGGUGCGUAGGUGGCAUGGUAAGUCAGAAGUGAAAGCCCGGGGCUUAACCCCGGGACUGCUUUUGAAACUGUCAUGCUGGAGUGCAGGAGAGGUAAGCGGAAUUCCUAGUGUAGCGGUGAAAUGCGUAGAUAUUAGGAGGAACACCAGUGGCGAAGGCGGCUUACUGGACUGUCACUGACACUGAUGCACGAAAGCGUGGGGAGCAAACAGGAUUAGAUACCUUGGUAGUCCACGCCGUAAACGAUGAAUACUAGGUGUCGGGGCCGUAGAGGCUUCG
rnacentral:rRNA from 1 species